rnacentral:lncRNA from 1 species
AUUCUAUGAUGUCAUGGUUCCUUCUCUAUGCGUGUUCUCUUGAGAACCAAGCAGGAUCAAUAGUUUUCAGAAGAACAGAAGUACAGAAAAAAAUGUGUUGUACUGCCCUAGCUCUACCCCUCCCAGGUUAUGACUCCUUCUGUUACUUUUGACUGGGUCCUACCUUCCGUUUUUGGUCCAGUAACAGGGCUGCCAUUUGGGAAUGGAUUCUCAGGCUCUAGUUGCUCCCCAGAAAAGCCUCAGCAAGUCAUUUUACCCUUUGCCUCUCACUCUACAUGGGUCUUUUCGAGAAUAUCUUAAUGAAAUAUUUCCUCAUCCCUGCGGACAAAGAGAUUUUUAUUGUGGGGGUGUCCCAUUAUUUUCCAUCUCAGGGACUCCUCCUUCAUUGUUUCCUUUUCUCUUCUGCUUCUCUUUCAUGGCUGCGCGUUUCUUCUUCCAGUGUUGCGGGCUAGGUCAGCAGCUGCAGGAGAACUUGAUUAGUGCCUUGCCUCAGUGCAGAUGCAUUUCCCUGACAGCAUCGAUCCUGGGUGCUUUCGCUUUGCAGGCAGCUCCACAGAGGAGGAGCUUGUACUGCAAAGGAGGUGGACUGUUGUCUGUUCAAGGAUCACCAGAAGAUGGCCCAUUUUAACCUCAUAAUAAACUUCUCUUGAGUGUCUUUCUCUUCCUGGCA